AUCAUCUACACUAAUGAGGAGGCCUAUUGGCAUCUUUGAUAUGCCCAGAAAUGGGUUUUGAAGGGCGACGCGAACACGGCCUACUUUCAAGCCAUCGCAAACGACCGCCGUAGACGCAACACCAUCCCCCUCCUCUGGGAUGGCGCGUCCCUCUAUAGGACCCCCGUGACAUCCGUCCGUGUCUACGGAUUCUAUAGGUCCUUAUUCUCUGCUGCUCCUAGGAGCGGCCUCUCCUUGGCUCCUGAUUGCUGGACCGGCCCCUAGCUGGUCACUGAAGCAGAGAACGCGGCCCUUACGGACCCCUUCUCCGAGGGCAAGGUCUGGGCUGCCAUUCGAGGCAUGAACCCGACCUUGGCUCCGGGUCCUCACGGCCUUCCGGUGAAAUUCUUCCAGACCUUCUGGAACGUGAUUAAACCGGAAGUCAUGGCCAUCUUCAAUGAGUUCUAUGUUGGGUCCAUCGACCUUGGACGCCUCAACUAUGGGAUAAUCUCGCUUAUCCCGAAGGUGUCGGGCGCCUCCGACAUCCGCCUGUUCCGUCCAAUCAUGGUCAUCAACGUGAUUUUCUGGAUUUUGGCAAAAGGGUACGCCAAUAGGGUGACCCUUCUUACUGACCGCGUUACCCACCCAACGAGUCCACCUUCAUUCAAGGGUGGUAUAUCUUGGAUGGGGUGCUUGUUCUUCAUGAAGUCCUCCAUGAGGUUCGGUCUAAACACCUCAAGGCGGUUUUCCUGA
rnacentral:rRNA from 1 species